rnacentral:sRNA from 1 species
GGCUAAAGUAUCGAUGGGUCAAAUUGCAGACUCGGGACCACUCCUCACAAUUUCUCUGGGUUGUUGAAGAACUGGGGACUUGAAAUACUAGUUUGCUCAACUGGAUAAUAUCUCCUAGUUCUCUUUUGAAAUCCUCUUCGAAUUAAGUCGGUGGGACUUUUCUAGGUGGCGUUGAAGUUGGUCCAGGUGCCAUUCUUUCCGAGAAAUUGAAUGCUCCCCAGACUGGUUCCGAAUUCCAAACACCGAGUAUGCGAGACCUCUGGGGCAUGGACAGGCGACUCCAAAUCCGGCAUUGGACUGAGCAUGGUUCCGAAAUACAUUAUGUUGUGCGAACCGAAGGGCAUUCUCCAUUGUUUAUAUAAACCGACAUCGCGCC